rnacentral:rRNA from 1 species
UACGUAGGGGGCAAGCGUUAUCCGGAUUUACUGGGUGUAAAGGGAGCGCAGACGGCAGUGCAAGUCUGGAGUGAAAGCCCGGGGCCCAACCCCGGAACUGCUCUGGAAACUGUGCGGCUGGAGUACUGGAGGGGCAGGCGGAAUUCCUAGUGUAGCGGUGAAAUGCGUAGAUAUUAGGAGGAACACCAGUGGCGAAGGCGGCCUGCUGGACAGUAACUGACGUUGAGGCUCGAAAGCGUGGGGAGCAAACAGG